UAAAAAUGCAAUUUCUCUUCGGAAAUCUCCCAUUUAACCCAAAAAUCAUAUAUUUUCCUUUAAAAAAUACCCCAUUUAACCCAAACAACACGCAUUUUCUCCUCAGGAUUCCCCAUUAAACCCGAAAAUCACACAUUUUCUCUUCGAAAAUCCACCAUUUAACCUGAAAAUCACGCUUUUUCUCGUCAAAAAUCCACCAGUGAACCCCCAAAGCAAACAUUUUCGCUACGAGAAUC
rnacentral:lncRNA from 1 species